rnacentral:rRNA from 1 species
UACAGAGGGUGCGAGCGUUAAUCGGAAUUACUGGGCGUAAAGCGUGCGUAGACGGUUAUGUAAGUCGGGUGUGAAAGCCCCGGGCUCAACCUGGGAAUUGCAUUCGAGACUGCGUAGCUAGGGUGCGGAAGAGGGAAGCGGAAUUUCCGGUGUAGCGGCGAAAUGCGUAGAUAUCGGAAGGAACACCAGUGGCGAAAGCGGCUUCCUGGUCCAGCACCGACGUUCAGGCACGAAAGCGUGGGGAGCAAACAGG